rnacentral:rRNA from 1 species
GCAAGUCGAACGCGAAAGCAUCUCUUCGGAGAAGCGAGUAGAGUGGCGCACGGGUGAGUAACGCGUAGAUAAUCUACCCCUAUAUCUGGGAUAACCAAUCGAAAGGCUGGCUAAUACCGGAUAAUCUUAUAUUGUCGCAAGGUAAAUUGAGUAAAGGUGACCUCUCGGAGAAGUUGCCGUAUAGGGAUGAGUUUGCGUACCAUUAGCUAGUAGGUGGGGUAAUGGCCCACCUAGGCAACGAUGGUUAGCGGGUCUGAGAGGAUGAUC